AUGAACAGUCUCAGAGAGGCACUGCCUUGUUAGAAUCAGCAGGUAGACUGCUUAGAGGGAGACUGGGAGCAGCGAUGGAGCUUUGUCCUGCUGGCUGGAGAAACCAAUGUCCAUAAAGAAAAGACUCCGGAGGGGGCGGGGGCGUGAAUUCCCAGCCCUCAGGACCAGGUGAAAAGUGAAGAGAACUCCAGUGUUUCUGGCUAGAACCACACUUAACUUUCAGAGGGAGAAGAAGCUGCCUCAUCUUCCAGGGAGCAAGGAGGAGCAAGUCAGGCUCUCAGCCAGUCCAUUACUCAGCAGCCACCAGGUUCCAGAUGCUAGCAAGAUGCCAACCAGACUUCCCUGGACAGACAACCCCACCAGUGUGUCCUGGAGCUCCGAUUCCGCAGAACCCUGCCCCACUAGGGAAAGAGAGAGACAGGCUG